rnacentral:tRNA from 1 species
GGGCGCGUAUUUUGCGUAGGAUUAGCCGAUAGGAUUCUCCGCACCGCUCCGGAAUCCCUAGAGCAACAUUGAUUUCCUCGCGUUUGCACAACCCUUUUAACGUUGGGGUUCCGGGUUCGAGUCUCGGCGCGCUCA